ensembl:lncRNA
AUGUUCCUCCCUUGAGCCUGCACCCUGGCUAUUUUGAUCAUACACUGAAGAAACGGAAGAGGAUGCGCAGGAGAUAGCAGUGGUUACUUGACUUGUCGCUAUUCUUUGAAUGCAGCUGUACCCGGUCACACAGUCAGAGCUGCACAGCUCUCCAGACACUGUGACGGUCCCCUGGAGCUGUCCUCCUCCCUCUGCAAGAGAAUCUGUGGCCUGAAACAUGGGACCUUCAUGCGUGCCUUCUCAAAGCUGGAGUUCAGCUCCUUUUCAGAGCAGUUCCCAGCUCUGCCGGUACGGCCUGCGUUCCUGUCUCCCAGCAAGGAGUGGGGCUGUACCACAGCGCCUGCUGUCAGCCUGGCCCAUUCAAGUUACUUUUGAGCUGGUUUCCUGAUCUGGCUUACCACAGCUGUACAAAUACUACGAAGAGGGGACAGGACCAACUUUAGCUGCCCUCAGCUAAAACGGAGGGAUCAGUAUGCUGCCAACAUCCACCUCGUCAUUGUAAACAGACAAAGCCCAAAAAAGAAACUAAGUAAAUAUUUCCUAAGACCCACCUUCGUGGAGUCCUGGGAUGAGCAGUUUGUGUUGUAUUUCCAUGCUGAAGUUUCCACAGCUAUUAGUGGAAGAGAGGAGAGACAGCAUCUGACAUAUACCAGCCUCUGUUGUCAGAAUUGUCAGAGCAGCACAAAACUUAUCACAAUAUUCCCUAACGUCCUUAGUCAGACACCUGAUCCAGAUCGUGUUUGUCAGCAAAGUCAUGCAGUGCUAGUUCUGAGUAAGAGUUUUAACUGCAGGCAUGGAAAAAAACACUAAAUUCUUCAGUUGCAGACAACAGGGUCAAUUCUGGUUCCCUCUGGCCUUUUUAAAAAGAAACGUCCUGCUAUUUCACAGCUUCAGAUGCCACUCAGUAGCACAACCAAAUGCCGAAGUGGUAGCAGAGGCAUAAUGCUCCUGGUUCCAACUCAUUUAUUGACAGCCUUUUUUUUUUUUUUUUUUCCUUCAGGUUUGUGAUUUCUUUUGUUUGAGUUUCUGGGGAUUGUUGCAUCAGAAAUGGCUGUUCAGGGAAAUCGAGUAUUAGGGAAAAAAAAAAAAUACCUGAACAGGUCAGGAGCCUGAACAUCAUCUGCUGCUGCUUGCCAGAGGGCGCCUAUCCAUCACGUAGGUGUAGAUGGAUAUGCAGUUCCAGAACUGAACUUGCAUCUUUGAGCUUUGGGAAGUGCCCAGCAAUGCUCUGUUUUUAGGAGCUGUAGCAACAGCAAUUGUAGCUGUCUUACAGAAUAAUGUGAAGACAAACCCCUGCUUUGCUAAUUUUUUAUUGUAAAUAAAUGAUGUAAGGAUAAACA